CCUACGGGAGUCAGCAGUGAGGAAUAUUGGUCAAUGGACGCGAGUCUGAACCAGCCAAGUAGCGUGAAGGAUGACUGCCCUCUGGGUUGUAAACUUCUUUUAUGUGGGAAUAAAAUGUUCCCCGUGUGGGAUGUUGUAUGUACCAUAUGAAUAAGGAUCGGCUAACUCCGUGCCAGCAGCCGCGGUAAUACGGAGGGUCCGAGCGUUAUCCGGAUUUAUUGGGUUUAUAUGGAGCGUAGGUGGUUUGUUAAGUCAGUUGUGAAAGUUUGGGGCUCAACCGUAAAAUUGCAGGUGAAACUGGCAGUCUUGAGUACAGUAGAGGUGGGCGGAAUUCGUGGUGUAGCGGUGAAAUGCUUAGAUAUCACGAAGAACUCCGAUUGCGAAGGCAGCUCCCUGGACUGCAACUGACGCUGAGGCUCGAAAGUGUGGGUAGCAAACAGGAUUAGAUACCCGUGUAGUC
rnacentral:rRNA from 1 species